AUUGAACGCUGGCGGCAGGCCUAACACAUGCAAGUCGAACGGUAGCACAGAGAGCUUGCUUUCGGGUGACGAGUGGCGGACGGGUGAGUAAUGUCUGGGAAACUGCCUGAUGGAGGGGGAUAACUACUGGAAACGGUAGCUAAUACCGCAUAACGUCGCAAGACCAAAGAGGGGGACCUUCGGGCCUCUUGCCAUCAGAUGUGCCCAGAUGGGAUUAGCUAGUAGGUGGGGUAACGGCUCACCUAGGCAACGAUCCCUAGCUGGUCUGAGAGGAUGACCAGCCACACUGGAACUGAGACACGGUCCAGACUCCUACGGGAGGCAGCAGUGGGGAAUAUUGCACAAUGGGCGCAAGCCUGAUGCAGCCAUGCCGCGUGUAUGAAGAAGGCCUUCGGGUUGUAAAGUACUUUCAGCGGGGAGGAAGGCGACACGGUUAAUAACCGUGUUGAUUGACGUUACCCGCAGAAGAAGCACCGGCUAACUCCGUGCCAGCAGCCGCCGUAA
rnacentral:rRNA from 1 species